UGUUCACAUCUAUGGAUAUCAGAAAGAGCAGAUUACAGUUGUCCAAAUAUUAUAAACAAGUCUGUAUUGUGAUGGUCAAAUGGCUAUUUCUUUGCUUUCGGCACACUCUUGAGCACCAUAUGCUGGCUUAGUUUUGCUCUUGAAGCACUUGUGAGUGUCGAUAUUUCACCAGAAUCACUGGCAGAUUCAUCAUUAUUUAAUAGGCAAUUGUACAAUAUUAACGUUCCCAACAUGGCCGACAUCUUCGCUAACAGUUGAUGAAGAUUUUGUCAUUUCACGCUUGUGUUUUCAUACUCAACUAACGCCACGACUUUCCCUUGACUUUCGUUAAACACUUCUUUUCGUUUUCCCAACCAUUCAACCAACAAUUACGCAUUGAAAAGCUCGCCAAACUAGGAAAAUUUUUUCUGAAAUCAACUGGCAUCAGUGAACG